rnacentral:rRNA from 1 species
UACAGAGGUGGCAAGCGUUGUUCGGAAUUACUGGGCGUAAAGCGCGUGUAGGUGGUGGGACAAGUCUGCUGUGAAAGCGCCUGGCUUAACCGGGCGAGGUCGGCGGAAACUGCCUCACUUGAGGACGGUAGAGGGGGGUGGAAUUCCCGGUGUAGUGGUGAAAUGCGUAGAGAUCGGGAGGAACACCUGUGGCGAAGGCGGCCCCCUGGGCCGGCCCUGACACUGAGACGCGAAGGCGUGGGGAGCGAACGGG